AUUAUAUUAGCCUCGUUUUUAAAUCCGUGUUUCGAGUAAAACGGUCCAAGUAUAACGUGAAUUAUCGUAGCGUUUCGUUCGUCGCUAUUGAAUUUUGACAACCAAAACGUAAUUCAAUUCUAUGUUGUACACGGUUUCAUUUCAUGGUAUAAAAUAAUCGGCUGGCGGUAUAUUUUUGAUUUAUGCCGAAAACGCUGUUAAUAUUAGCAAUGUUCCAAACCCGAUUUC